AGCAGCCGCGGUAAUUCCAGCUCCAAUAGCGUAUAUUAAAGUUGUUGCAGUUAAAAAGCUCGUAGUUGAAUUUCGGGAUCAAUUGAUUGGUCAUGCCUACGGUAUGUACUAGUCAUAUUGGUUCUCACCUUCUAAUGAACCUUAAUGUCAUUCACUUGAUGUUUUGGGGAAUUAGGACUGUUACCUUGAAAAAAUUAGAGUGUUUAAAGCAGGCUUACGCUUGAAUACAUUAGCAUGGAAUAAUGAAAUAGGACAUCGCAUUCUAUUUUGUUGGUUUCUAGGAUCGAUGUAAUGAUUAAUAGGGAUAGUUGGGGGCAUUAGUAUUCAAUUGUCAGAGGUGAAAUUCUUGGAUUUAUUGAAGACUAACUACUGCGAAAGCAUUUGCCAAGGAUGUUUUCAUUAAUCAAGAACGAAAGUUAGGGGAUCGAAGACGAUCAGAUACCGUCGUAGUCUUAACCAUAAACUAUGCCGACUAGGGAUCGGAUGGUGUUAAUUUUAAAUGACUCAUUC
rnacentral:sRNA from 1 species